rnacentral:tRNA from 2 species
GGGCGAUUGGCGCAGUGGUAGCGCGCUUCGUUCACACCGAAGAGGUCGGCGGUUCGAAACCGCCAUCGCCCACCC